rnacentral:lncRNA from 1 species
UCGAAAAAUCACAAAAUUUAUUUUCUAGGUACCUCAAAUACUCUAGAUCAACUCUAACGGAGCCGAUCGUCGAUUCGAAAGUCCGAACAUCGAAAAUAACUUGGAAGUACGGAGGGCUCCGUGCUUCCAGAAGCAUACCAGCCCACUCUAUAUUUAUAUAUAUAUAGAAUUGAGCUCCUAUGCUUUUAAAAGUACCAAGUUAUUGGUGCUUGUAGAUAUUAAGAGAUGCGCGGUUAGGAUGAUGUGGGCCCCCUAGGGUUGAGUGGGUAGUUGGUUGAAUAGUAUAAUCUAACGGGUAAAAAUGAUCAGAGGCGUAGAUCUAACG